rnacentral:rRNA from 1 species
CUUGCUUCCGCCGACGACCGGCGCACGGGUGCGUAACGCGUAUACAAUCUACCUUGUACUGGGGUAUAGCCUUUAGAAAUGAAGAUUAACCCCCCAUAGUCUCUUAGAGUGGCAUCACUUCUAGAGUAAAGGUUACGGUAUAAGAUGAGUAUGCGUUCUAUUAGUUUGUUGGUGUGGUAACGGCACACCAAGACUACGAUAGAUAGGGGCCCUGAGAGGGGGAUCCCCCACACUGGUACUGAGACACGGACCAGACUCCUACGGGAGGCAGCAGUGAGGAAUAUUGGACAAUGGAGGCAACUCUGAUCCAGCCAUGCCGCGUGCAGGAAGACUGCCCUAUGGGUUGUAAACUGCUUUUAUACAGGAAGAAACACCUCUACGUGUAGAGGCUUGACGGUACUGUAAGAAUAAGGAUCGGCUAACUCCGUGCCAGCAGCCGCGGUAAUACGGAGGAUCCAAGCGUUAUCCGGAAUCAUUGGGUUUAAAGGGUCCGUAGGUGGAUAAUUAAGUCAG